GCGGGUAUAACUCAGUUGGUAGAGUGACUGCCUUCCAAGCAGUAAGUGGUGGGUUCGAAUCCCAUUUCCCGC
rnacentral:tRNA from 2 species